UAUUGUCACAUCAGUAAUUCUUCGGGAGCAAACAACAAUCAAUGGUAUUUGCAACACUAUCAUUUAUUGCUUUUAGCCAACAAUCAAGCCAAAGGUAUUCUUUACUCCGCCAUGCAUUAAAUGAAGCUGUGCGUGAGACCUGCGUUUGAAUGUGUGCAAAUCGACAAAAUUUGUGCUCACACAGAGAAGUAACGUCUUUCAAACUGUUCAUGUCCUGCGUGAUAACGCCAAGAUCAGUUUGUGAAUAAGGAAGAGCAGGUGCAACCUGGAGUUCAUAUUUGGAACAGGAGCAACUGGGAGCUCAUAGAUAUGGACAGGAGUGACAGGCAAGUGUUCACCGUUAGGCUGGAAUCCAGCAGUCCACGUUGAAGUAAACUUCUGGCCUUCAGAGGAAACCCAGCAAGAUGACCCUUUGGUGGUGUUGGCUAUGACUUCGUCAUUAGUUUCUUUUCUGUAAGAGUCGUAGGUAAUUCUUUGCAUUUUCCUCUGAACUCGACAUUCUUCAGGGGUAGUGUAUUCAUACUGGGCAUACCUUUAGGUUGGAAAAAUAAAUUUUUUUAAAUGUGA